AUUGAACGCUGGCGGCAUGCCUUACACAUGCAAGUCGAACGGCAGCACGGGAGCAAUCCUGGUGGCGAGUGGCGAACGGGUGAGUAAUACAUCGGAACGUACCUUAUCGUGGGGGAUAACGCAGCGAAAGCUGUGCUAAUACCGCAUACGCCCUGAGGGGGAAAGCGGGGGAUCGAAAGACCUCGCGCGAUUAGAGCGGCCGAUGCCUGCUUAGCUUGUUGGUGGGGUAAAAGCCCACCAAGGCGACGAUCAGUAGCUAGUCUGAGAGGACGAGCAGCCAAACGGGGACUGAGACACGGCCCAGACUCCUACGGGAGGCAGCAGUGGGGAAUUUUGGACAAUGGGGGCAACCCUGAUCCAGCAAUGCCGCGUGAGUGAAGAAGGCCUUCGGGUUGUAAAGCUCUUUUGUCAGGGAAGAAACACCGGCUCUAACACAGUCCGGGAAUGACGGUACCUGAAGAAUAAGCACCGGCUAACUACGUGCCAGCCGCCGCAGUAA
rnacentral:rRNA from 1 species